AACUUCGCAACCUUUUGAAAGCACCUUGUUUUGUCUGAGUUGGAGGUAGGUGAGGAAACCUGAAGCCAGGUGGACUAAUUGCUGGCAGCGACGCUUGCUGCUUUCACUCCCCAUUAUUUGUUCUCCGUGGAGCGCCGCUUGGGGUCAGGCUUCUGAGGACAGAAGAAGGAAGAAAUGAGACAGCGCCCUCCGCUAGGAAUUAAGAUCAGGAGCGGUUUGGAUCAAUGCCCCGUGAGCACAGAGUGGGAGGAAGAGGAGGCAAUACUGCCACACCUUAUUAUACCAAAACACGGCGAGGUGCAUGACAGAAGACAUACGACAGUUGCACCGAUCCACCCCAAUUUUGCUGCAGAAUCUGGCCCAUUCCACUGAAAAUAAACUGGACACUUUGUGGAAACCUCACAGCUCUCAUUGACCAGCUCGUCCCCUCCCUCAGCGUUUGAAACCCAGGAGCUACGCAGAGACCUUGGGUAACCGGCGACCCAGUGCAGCCAGCGUUUGGCUCAGGUCCAUUCACAGUCAAAGAGAAGGGAUGGGCUUGAAACGAAGUCUCCAUAGCAGAGCUGGUUGAAACUUGGGAUUCCCCUUUUGGGGGAAAUACUGAUAUUUCAGAUGGUUUUUUUUCUGUUCCAGUUCCAGGCUCCCCAACUCCCCAGACUUCCAGGGACCCGAGUUGCCUGGAAACCCUGGGACCCCUGGCUGUGUGGCAGCCCCCACAUGGGCUGCUGCAGAACCAGUGGGUUGAGAAGCCUGGGGGAGCCCCACCAAGAGGGCUGCUGGGGAGCUCAAGCUUUUGUUUAGAUUUUCUCUGUGGAAAAAUCAAAAUUUUCCGGCACAACUGAAGAAAAUUUCAAUCUUGGCCAAAGUGCAUUUUCUGUCAGAAGAGCCUUCUCGUGGAAAAUUCCCAACCAGCUCUUGUCCCCUGGCUUGGCCCAAGGAGAGCAGGAACCCAGAGAGCACAGGAGGGGGACGAAACUUGGCCCAUUUGUUUUUCUCUCUUCAGAGAUCACGGACUCCGUUUUGCGGUCUGCCACUCCCACAGCAGAGGUCUUUGGGUUUGGGAAGCCAAUGAAUUCCAUCUCAGCUGGCAGA